ACUUGCUGACAUCUGUGAGUGACUGAAAUUUUAGUCACCAUCUUCCACAGCCCUGAGGGACCUAGACCUGGGCAUGCUGGAGUCCCCAGUGCUGUCAACACCUGACACUUGGUCCCUUGACUAGAGUGAUGAUGCCCAGCACCAAGCUGGGCAGGCAGGAGCAGUGACCCCGUCAUCUCCAGCUGUGAACUGAAGGCCCAAGACCCCUCCGUGGCUGAAGACACUGCCCUCAGUAUUCCCUGUUCCUGUGCUGAAGUUCCAACCUGCACGACAAUGGACAGAGACGGACGAGCCCAAGACUCUUUUGGAAAGGAGCAGAGUUCUGACUACAGAGCAGCUGCGUCCCACACAGCACUUCCUGGGUAAUCUGUGUUGUGACACUGAGAAGGAGAACGUCACCGCAGAGGCGACGAAUGGUAUCUUUGACUUGGGUGGGACAAGUUUACCACGAUGGACUAUCUCAGUUUUGUGAGAAACAUCUGGAGUAGGAAGGGCCCUCAAAAG